GAAUGCUGACAUAAGUAACGAUAAAGCGGGUGAAAAGCCCGCUCGCCGGAAGACCAAGGGUUCCUGUCCAACGUUAAUCGGGGCAGGGUGAGUCGACCCCUAAGGCGAGGCCGAAAGGCGUAGUCGAUGGGAAACGGGUUAAUAUUCCCGUACUUGGUGUUACUGCGAAGGGGGGACGGAGAAGGCUAUGUUGGCCGGGCGACGGUUGUCCCGGUUUAAGCGUGUAGGUGUGUGUUCCAGGUAAAUCCGGUUCACUUUAACACUGAGGCGUGACGACGAGGCACUACGGUGCUGAAGCAACAAAUGCCCUGCUUCCAGGAAAAGCCUCUAAGCAUCAGGUAACAUCAAAUCGUACCCCAAACCGACACAGGUGGUCAGGUAGAGAAUACCAAGGCGCUUGAGAGAACUCGGGUGAAGGAACUAGGCAAAAUGGUGCCGUAACUUCGGGAGAAGGCACGCUGACACGUAGGUGAAGUGAUUUACUCAUGGAGCUGAAGUCAGUCGAAGAUACCAGCUGGCUGCAACUGUUUAUUAAAAACACAGCACUGUGCAAACACGAAAGUGGACGUAUACGGUGUGACGCCUGCCCGGUGCCGGAAGGUUAAUUGAUGGGGUCAGCGCAAGCGAAGCUCCUGAUCGAAGCCCCGGUAAACGGCGGCCGUAACUAUAACGGUCCUAAGGUAGCGAAAUUCCUUGUCGGGUAAGUUCCGACCUGCACGAAUGGCGUAAUGAUGGCCAGGCUGUCUCCACCCGAGACUCAGUGAAAUUGAACUCGCUGUGAAGAUGCAGUGUACCCGCGGCAAGACGGAAAGACCCCGUGAACCUUUACUAUAGCUUGACACUGAACAUUGAGCCUUGAUGUGUAGGAUAGGUGGGAGGCUUUGAAGCGUGGACGCCAGUCUGCGUGGAGCCGACCUUGAAAUACCACCCUUUAAUGUUUGAUGUUCUAACGUGGACCCGUGAUCCGGGUUGCGGACAGUGUCUGGUGGGUAGUUUGACUGGG
rnacentral:rRNA from 1 species